UACGUAGGGUGCGAGCGUUGUCCGGAAUUACUGGGCGUAAAGAGCUCGUAGGUGGUUUGUCGCGUUGUUCGUGAAAUCUCACGGCUUAACUGUGAGCGUGCGGGCGAUACGGGCAGACUAGAGUACUGCAGGGGAGACUGGAAUUCCUGGUGUAGCGGUGGAAUGCGCAGAUAUCAGGAGGAACACCGGUGGCGAAGGCGGGUCUCUGGGCAGUAACUGACGCUGAGGAGCGAAAGCGUGGGGAGCGAACAGGAUUAGAUACCCUGGUAGUCCACGCCGUAAACGGUGGGUACUAGGUGUGGGUUUCCUUCCCUUGGGAUCCGUGCCGUAGCUAACGCAUUAAGUACCCCGCCUGGGGAGUACGGCCGCAAGGCUAAAACUCAAAGAAUUGACGG
rnacentral:rRNA from 1 species